ensembl:snRNA U6 U6 spliceosomal RNA
GUGCUCGCUUUGGUAGUGCAUACACUAAAAUUGGAAUGAUAUAGAGAUUAGCACGGCCCCUGGUGCAAGGAUAACACACAAAUUCGUGAAGCAUUCCAUAUUUUU